ACUCUCCCCUUUCAUUCUCUCUCUCUUCGUUAAGCUAUCUGUAAUUUUUCUUCCAUUCUCCUUUAAUGGAGAUUCAUCCUUCAUCUCCUUCUCCAUUUUUCACAUGGUAUCAGAGCGCAAAUCCGCUGCGCGCCUCUGAUUACCUAUAUCUUCUCUAUCCUUUUUUUUAUUUUUUUCGUUUGCCUCUUUCUUUCGUUUUCAUAGAGCUAGGGUUUGUGAUUUCGUGAGAUUUUUCUGCUGAUUGUUCCGGGAGAGUUCUUCAGGCCGGAUAUGUUGUUGUUUCCCGCCGGAGUUCUUCCGCAAAGUCGAUUUGUUGCUUGUUUGGUUGUUGCAUCUGCAAGACCUUUGGUUGCUAGGCUGUUGAUGCUCUUGCAUCGGGUAGGGGAUUGGAAAUUUGUUGUUGGUGAUUGCAACAAUUGGUGAAUAUUUGGUUAUAUGCUUGAAGUUGCUUAAUCAAAUUUGUUGUUGUGAUGAUGAUUGUUGAUGAGACGAUGAAGAUGUUUUUCCAAGAUGUUUUGGUUGAUUUGAUGAUCCGCAUUAGACGGACAUUGAUACCCAGGAGAGUUCUAUUUACUAGAUGGUUGGGGAGUUUGGCAGUAGUAAUAAGAGUGGAGAUGUCCGAUAGCUAUGUAGCGUCCACAGCUGGUUAGUCAUCACAGCUGCACCAUUGGACUCAUUCUUGAAGAAGACGGCAGCUUUCUCCCUGUCUAACCCAGUCAUGCACAUCUCUAGUGUGUAUACAGGAUUAUCAACUACGCUGAGCCCAGCACUAGCAGAAUAAAUGUGCCAUUGUUGUUGCUUAUCAGAACUUCCCAUAACAUAGGCUUUGCUUCCACUUGAACCAAGCUUUCCAAAUAGCCAUCAAGGACAGAAACUUCCUCAGAGAAGGAUCGAUGAGGGAAUGAUUGAGCUCCACGAAAGAUGAGGCUUCCACGGGUGUACUUCACAUCUUGAACAGAAAGGGAAAGGAGCCCAGCCAGCUUGAGUAUGGGUGGAAUAAUUUGUUUUUGUCAAGAUAGUAGCAUUUGAUAUGCUUCCAUCUUGAGGGAGACUGUGAAAAUUAAAAAACAAUUUGUAAUUAGUUAGGUAUUUCCUUUCUUUUAUCAGCCUAUAUAAAUGGCUUUUAUUGUAUUUUUUGUAUACCACUUUAUUAAAAAUGUAGUCUAUAAUAAAAAACUCUCCCCUUUCA